rnacentral:snoRNA from 1 species
AAUAACAAUGUUGACUUCGGGAUGGGGGAGAUAUAACGAUUAUGAAAAUGAUUUUCAUGUCUGAAACUCUGAGGUCCCA